rnacentral:rRNA from 1 species
AUGCACGCUGGCGGCGUGCUUCACACCUGCAAGUCGCACGAUGAAGCCCAGCUUGCUGGGUGGAUUAGUGGCGAACGGGUGAGUAACACGUGAGUAACCUGCCCUUAACUCUGGGAUAAGCCUGGGAAACUGGGUCUAAUACCGGAUAGGAGCGUCCACCGCAUGGUGGGUGUUGGAAAGAUUUAUCGGUUUUGGAUGGACUCGCGGCCUAUCAGCUUGUUGGUGAGGUAAUGGCUCACCAAGGCGACGACGGGUAGCCGGCCUGAGAGGGUGACCGGCCACACUGGGACUGAGACACGGCCCAGACUCCUACGGGAGGCAGCAGUGGGGAAUAUUGCACAAUGGGCGCAAGCCUGAUGCAGCGACGCCGCGUGAGGGAUGACGGCCUUCGGGUUGUAAACCUCUUUCAGUAGGGAAGAAGCGAAAGUGACGGUACCUGCAGAAGAAGCACCGGCUAACUACGUG